GACGAACGCUGGCGGCGUGCUUAACACAUGCAAGUCGAACGGUGAAGCGCCUUCCUUUUUGGUGGGUGUGGAUGAGUGGCGAACGGGUGAGUAACACGUGAGUAACCUGCCCCCUUCUUCUGGAUAACCGCAUGAAAGUGUGGCUAAUACGGGAUAUUCUGGGUCUGUCGCAUGAUGGGUCUGGGAAAGAUAUUGUUUCGGUGGGGGAUGGGCUCGCGGCCUAUCAGCUUGUUGGUGGGGUGAUGGCCUACCAAGGCGGUGACGGGUAGCCGGCCUGAGAGGGUGGACGGUCACACUGGGACUGAGACACGGCCCAGACUCCUACGGGAGGCAGCAGUGGGGAAUAUUGCUCAAUGGGCGCAAGCCUGAUGCAGCGACGCCGCGUGAGGGAUGGAGGCCUUCGGGUUGUGAACCUCUUUCGCCAGUGAAGCAGGCCUGCCUCGUUUGUGGGUGGGUUGACGGUAGCUGGAUAAGAAGCGCCGGCUAACUACGUG
rnacentral:rRNA from 1 species